UGGGGAAUCUUGCGCAAUGGGCGAAAGCCUGACGCAGCCAUGCCGCGUGAGUGAUGAAGGCCUUAGGGUUGUAAAACUCUUUCACCGGGGACGAUAAUGACGGUACCCGGAGAAGAAGCCCCGGCUAACUUCGUGCCAGCAGCCGCGGUAAUACGAAGGGGGCUAGCGUUGCUCGGAAUUACUGGGCGUAAAGGGCGCGUAGGCGGAUCAGCAAGUUGGGGGUGAAAGCCCGGGGCUCAACCUCGGAAUUGCCUUCAAAACUGCUGAUCUAGAGUACGGGAGAGGUGUGUGGAACUCCGAGUGUAGAGGUGAAAUUCGUAGAUAUUCGGAAGAACACCAGUGGCGAAGGCGACACACUGGCCCGUUACUGACGCUGAGGCGCGAAAGCGUGGGGAGCAAACAGGAUUAGAUACCCUGGUAGUCCACGCUGUAAACGAUGAUUGCUAGUUGUCGGCAGGCAUGCCUGUCGGUGACGCAGCUAACGCAUUAAGCAAUCCGCCUGGGGGAGUACGGUCGCAAGAUUAAAAACUCAAAUGAAUUGACGGGGGUCAUAGCUG
rnacentral:rRNA from 1 species